UUGUUGUUUUUAAAAGACAGCCGUUGGCUUAAGUGUGCCAACACACUUGUGCCUUAAGUUGCUAUGCCUAAAGCUUCACUGUCGGAGUGCUGAAGGUGAGACAGGACACACAAACUCUUUUUAAACGAGUAUGCUGAAAAGUAAAACUAGUCUUUUUAGGCAAGUCCUGUCAUGUCACUGACCACCCUUUCUGCCCUCUCUGGACCUUUUCAUUCUCUGCUUUACCUUUAAGCGAAGUAACCUGAACUCAAUAAAGUAAUUUAAAUCAGGAUGUA